CCUACGGGAGGCUGCAGUGGGGAAUAUUGCACAAUGGGCGCAAGCCUGAUGCAGCCAUGCCGCGUGUGUGAAGAAGGCCUUCGGGUUGUAAAGCACUUUCAGCGGGGAGGAAGGCGUUAAGGUUAAUAACCUUGGCGAUUGACGUUACCCGCAGAAGAAGCACCGGCUAACUCCGUGCCAGCAGCCGCGGUAAUACGGAGGGUGCAAGCGUUAAUCGGAAUUACUGGGCGUAAAGCGCACGCAGGCGGUCUGUCAGGUCGGAUGGGAAAUCCCCGGGCUCAACCUGGGAACUGCAUUCGAAACUGGCAGGCUAGAGUCUUGUGGAGGGGGGUAGAAUUCCAGGUGUAGCGGUGAAAUGCGUAGAGAUCUGGAGGAAUACCGGUGGCGAAGGCGGCCCCCUGGACAAAGACUGACGCUCAGGUGCGAAAGCGUGGGGAGCAAACAGGAUUAGAUACCCUAGUAAUC
rnacentral:rRNA from 1 species